rnacentral:rRNA from 2 species
GGGUUGUGAGGUUAAGCGACUAAGCGUACACGGUGGAUGCCCUGGCAGUCAGAGGCGAUGAAGGACGUGCUAAUCUGCGAUAAGCGUCGGUAAGGUGAUAUGAACCGUUAUAACCGGCGAUUUCCGAAUGGGGAAACCCAGUGUGAUUCGUCACACUAUCAUUAACUGAAUCCAUAGGUUAAUGAGGCGAACCGGGGGAACUGAAACAUCUAAGUACCCCGAGGAAAAGAAAUCAACCGAGAUUCCCCCAGUAGCGGCGAGCGAACGGGGAGGAGCCCAGAGCCUGAAUCAGUGUGUGUGUUAGUGGAAGCGUCUGGAAAGGCGCGCGAUACAGGGUGACAGCCCCGUACACAAAAAUGCACAUGCUGUGAGCUCGAUGAGUAGGGCGGGACACGUGGUAUCCUGUCUGAAUAUGGGGGGACCAUCCUCCAAGGCUAAAUACUCCUGACUGACCGAUAGUGAACCAGUACCGUGAGGGAAAGGCGAAAAGAACCCCGGCGAGGGGAGUGAAAAAGAACCUGAAACCGUGUACGUACAAGCAGUGGGAGCCUCUUUAUGGGGUGACUGCGUACCUUUUGUAUAAUGGGUCAGCGACUUAUAUUCUGUAGCAAGGUUAACCGAAUAGGGGAGCCGAAGGGAAACCGAGUCUUAACUGGGCGUUAAGUUGCAGGGUAUAGACCCGAAACCCGGUGAUCUAGCCAUGGGCAGGUUGAAGGUUGGGUAACACUAACUGGAGGACCGAACCGACUAAUGUUGAAAAAUUAGCGGAUGACUUGUGGCUGGGGGUGAAAGGCCAAUCAAACCGGGAGAUAGCUGGUUCUCCCCGAAAGCUAUUUAGGUAGCGCCUCGUGAAUUCAUCUCCGGGGGUAGAGCACUGUUUCGGCAAGGGGGUCAUCCCGACUUACCAACCCGAUGCAAACUGCGAAUACCGGAGAAUGUUAUCACGGGAGACACACGGCGGGUGCUAACGUCCGUCGUGAAGAGGGAAACAACCCAGACCGCCAGCUAAGGUCCCAAAGUCAUGGUUAAGUGGGAAACGAUGUGGGAAGGCCCAGACAGCCAGGAUGUUGGCUUAGAAGCAGCCAUCAUUUAAAGAAAGCGUAAUAGCUCACUGGUCGAGUCGGCCUGCGCGGAAGAUGUAACGGGGCUAAACCAUGCACCGAAGCUGCGGCAGCGACGCUUAUGCGUUGUUGGGUAGGGGAGCGUUCUGUAAGCCUGCGAAGGUGUACUGUGAGGUAUGCUGGAGGUAUCAGAAGUGCGAAUGCUGACAUAAGUAACGAUAAAGCGGGUGAAAAGCCCGCUCGCCGGAAGACCAAGGGUUCCUGUCCAACGUUAAUCGGGGCAGGGUGAGUCGACCCCUAAGGCGAGGCCGAAAGGCGUAGUCGAUGGGAAACAGGUUAAUAUUCCUGUACUUGGUGUUACUGCGAAGGGGGGACGGAGAAGGCUAUGUUGGCCGGGCGACGGUUGUCCCGGUUUAAGCGUGUAGGCUGGUUUUCCAGGCAAAUCCGGAAAAUCAAGGCUGAGGCGUGAUGACGAGGCACUACGGUGCUGAAGCAACAAAUGCCCUGCUUCCAGGAAAAGCCUCUAAGCAUCAGGUAACAUCAAAUCGUACCCCAAACCGACACAGGUGGUCAGGUAGAGAAUACCAAGGCGCUUGAGAGAACUCGGGUGAAGGAACUAGGCAAAAUGGUGCCGUAACUUCGGGAGAAGGCACGCUGAUACGUAGGUGAAGUCCCUUGCGGAUGGAGCUGAAAUCAGUCGAAGAUACCAGCUGGCUGCAACUGUUUAUUAAAAACACAGCACUGUGCAAACACGAAAGUGGACGUAUACGGUGUGACGCCUGCCCGGUGCCGGAAGGUUAAUUGAUGGGGUUAGCGGUAACGCGAAGCUCUUGAUCGAAGCCCCGGUAAACGGCGGCCGUAACUAUAACGGUCCUAAGGUAGCGAAAUUCCUUGUCGGGUAAGUUCCGACCUGCACGAAUGGCGUAAUGAUGGCCAGGCUGUCUCCACCCGAGACUCAGUGAAAUUGAACUCGCUGUGAAGAUGCAGUGUACCCGCGGCAAGACGGAAAGACCCCGUGAACCUUUACUAUAGCUUGACACUGAACAUUGAGCCUUGAUGUGUAGGAUAGGUGGGAGGCUUUGAAGUGUGGACGCCAGUCUGCAUGGAGCCGACCUUGAAAUACCACCCUUUAAUGUUUGAUGUUCUAACGUUGGCCCCUAAUCGGGGUUGCGGACAGUGUCUGGUGGGUAGUUUGACUGGGGCGGUCUCCUCCUAAAGAGUAACGGAGGAGCACGAAGGUUGGCUAAUCCUGGUCGGACAUCAGGAGGUUAGUGCAAUGGCAUAAGCCAGCUUGACUGCGAGCGUGACGGCGCGAGCAGGUGCGAAAGCAGGUCAUAGUGAUCCGGUGGUUCUGAAUGGAAGGGCCAUCGCUCAACGGAUAAAAGGUACUCCGGGGAUAACAGGCUGAUACCGCCCAAGAGUUCAUAUCGACGGCGGUGUUUGGCACCUCGAUGUCGGCUCAUCACAUCCUGGGGCUGAAGUAGGUCCCAAGGGUAUGGCUGUUCGCCAUUUAAAGUGGUACGCGAGCUGGGUUUAGAACGUCGUGAGACAGUUCGGUCCCUAUCUGCCGUGGGCGCUGGAGAACUGAGGGGGGCUGCUCCUAGUACGAGAGGACCGGAGUGGACGCAUCACUGGUGUUCGGGUUGUCAUGCCAAUGGCACUGCCCGGUAGCUAAAUGCGGAAGAGAUAAGUGCUGAAAGCAUCUAAGCACGAAACUUGCCCCGAGAUGAGUUCUCCCUGACUCCUUGAGAGUCCUGAAGGAACGUUGAAGACGACGACGUUGAUAGGCCGGGUGUGUAAGCGCAGCGAUGCGUUGAGCUAACCGGUACUAAUGAACCGUGAGGCUUAACCUUACAACGCCGAAG